rnacentral:rRNA from 1 species
GACGAACGCUGGCGGUGCGCCUUAUGCAUGCAAGUCGAGCGAAGCUUUUCAGUAGUUUACUACAGAAAAUGACUGAGCGGCGAACGGGUGAGUAACGCGUGAGCAAUCUACCUUAGUUACAGGGAUAGCCCGAGGAAACUCGGAUUAAUACCUGAUAUUCUUUAUUUCUCGCAUGAGAAUAAAAGGAAAGGUCAGCCGAACUAAGAUGAGCUCGCGUUCUAUCAGCUUGUUGGUGAGGUAAAAGCUUACCAAGGCUACGACGGAUAGCUGGUCUGAGAGGACGAUCAGCCACACUGGGACUGAGACACGGCCCAGACUCCUACGGGAGGCUGCAGCAGGGAAUAUUGUGC